CAAAUACAUCUCAAUUCAAUCUUAAUUUAAUUCUAGUUAAAAUCCUAUUGAACUUCAUUCAAACUUUAGGCCAAAACUAAUUCAAUCUUAAAUCCUAAUAAAAUCCUAAAUCCUAAAUCCUAAAUCAAAUCCCAACCAAAUCCUAAACCAAAUCCUAAACCCUAAAUCAAAUCCUAACCAAAUCCUAAUCCAAAUCCUAAACCCUAAACCAAACCCUAAUUCAAACCCUAAAUCCUAAAUCAAACCUUAACCAAAUUCUAAAUCCUAAAUCAAACCUUAACUAAAUCCUAAACCAAAUCCUAAUCUAAACCCUAAACCCUAAACCAAACCCUAACCAAAUCCUAAAUCCUAAAUAAACCCUAACCAAAUCC
rnacentral:lncRNA from 1 species